CAUCAAAUUCCAAGGAAGGUGUGAAAGUUAAGGCUACUUGGGGCACACUGCCCUCCAGAAAUCCAGGCCAGUGUAAAACAUUUACCCUCCCAUUCUACUUUCCAAGGUUUUGUUUUGGUUAUGGUUUUGGUUUUUCAUUCAGUUUCUAGAGAUUGAGUACAGAUCUUUUGCAUUUAGCUCCAUUACCUUCCACUUUUAAAAAUCUUCCUUUUUUUUCAGGAGUUUCUCAAUAAGUUGCUAAGUUGGUGGGUCUAUCCUUGAAUUUGUGAUAUUUCUGCCUCAGCCUUCCAGGCAGCUGGCAUUACAAGCCACACACCAGACCUGGUCUCAUUAUAGUGUUGUUAAAAACUCAUUUGAUGAGCAAGGAAUGGUGAAAAUGCCUGCAAUGUCAGAACUCAGGCCACUGAGGCAGCAGGAUUCCUGGGAUUUCCACACAAGACUGCAACACACUCUGAGUUCAGCUCAGGCCACAAUGACACAGGGAGACCCUGACCAGAAAAAGAAAAUAAACAUGUGGGAACAGACAGGAAAGGAAAGAAGAAAUAAAACAAAAUUCCUGGUGACUAUGAAUUGGUUUGUCUCUGGGCUAUGCAUUUUAAUCUGCCGUCCUGUUCUUGCAGUAUAAGAUCCUUUGACUGCCUUCAAUUUACAAUAUACCUGGAAACCAGGAAAGUAUUAGUGAUACUUUGACAUGAAUGGCACUGAAACAGCUGGUUGCUCUGGGUAUCCUGAACAUUGUAACAACAUGAAUUCUUCCCAUCCACCAUCACAGUGUGUCUUUUCUUCUGUUAGUGCCAUUUCACUCAUUGCAUCAGUUUCUACAGUUUUUAAAGAAAAGGCCUGUACCCAGUCCUCCUCACUGUUGUUCUCUGCCUCACUGGGCUCACAGUGCUCCAGUUCAGGCAGGAGAAGUAACUUUGGAAGAUCCAUGUUGGUUUGCAGCUGCUGCUUGGAGCCAAGAAUCAGGCCUAAGGUCCUGGGGGUGCAAGGUGUGGGCAGCUGAGUGUGAGCUGGGUGUUCCCACCCUAACUACUCUCCCAAGGCACCCUGCUGAGUUGGAUACCUGGCUGCUGCUCCAGCUGUGGAGAGCCCAGUUCCACCCUAUCUCCACCACUAGUGGAGCAGUGCUGCCCCAGACAGCUCUGGGGGACUGACAGAUGACUCCAUGGGAGAGCCUGUGAACAGUGUUGUGACCCCCUCUCUGUUCUUCAGGAAAGCUGUACACACAUCUGUCUAGUGCUCCCCAGUGGUAUGUUGCCUUCACAAGGGGAUGGAAAAGUGUCUACUAUGGUACUGGGAUUGUGCUUCAUACAUAUGUGAGAAGUGAGGGAACAGAAGGGAUGGGUAGUGUUCCACCUUUCCUCAGCUGUUAGAUUGCACAGAGACUUGCCACCCAGUACUCUGUGCUUCCUCUUGAGUCCCCUUCCACUGAUGUGUUUCCAUAUCUAGGGAAGCCCAGAGGAAAUCUCAUGUACCAUAAAUUUAGUAGUAUAUGAUCUGCCAUCCAGGGUGACUGUGUUGCUCCCACUAGUGUGGAAGGUCAAGAGGGCAGUAGCUACAUCUUUGUUGGUCAUUGGAUCAUGGUCAGUGCCUGGCAAAGUGUCUGUUCACAGUGUAGCUCUAUGUAUAUUCAUGUACUCAUGGCACCUACUGGUUCUGGUGAUGUCAUCUGAAUGGGCCUGGGGCCUCUGCAAGGCCCAAGAGAAUCUGGCUAUGAAUAAUACAUCCUAAACUCCAUAGAGCAUCCUAGGAAUCAGAUUUUGCAUAAUGGCAAGUUCAUGUUCAAAUUUAACAAUUUAAUCAUCAGUGAAAAUCUCUUAAAGUAAAUAAAAAAGCUAGAGAUUUUGUGUUAAUACCUGUGGUUCAUUCUUACAAUGGAAAAGAAAAACGUGUAGUGUAUAAUCAGUCAAAUCACAAGAAUUAUUGCUUUGUCCUCCAGAAACUAAUGUGGGUGUGAAAGAAACAGACACACACCACGAUGUUCAGAUGCAUGAAAAACACCACAGUGGAGGGAAACCCUGGGUAUCCAAACAAUAUGGGAAAGCUUUAACCACACAUAGAAAUAGUAAGGAACAUGAAAGAAUUCACACUGGAGAGACCUCAUGUAUGUAAGCAAUGUGGGAAAGCUUUUACAACCAGUGGACAUUGUAAGCAACAUGAAACAAUUCACACUGGAGAGAAACCUUAUGUAUGUAAGCAAUAAGCAAAAGCUUUUAUCAAAUGUGGACAUCGUAAACAAGAUGAAAGAACACUUGAGAAAAACCCUAUAUAUGUAAGCAAUGUGGGAAAGCUGUUACCUCACCUAGAGAUUUUAAAAGUCAUGAAAGAAUUCACACUUGAGAAAAACUCUAUAUAUGAAAGCAAUGUGGGAAAGCUUUUACCUCACCUGGAGAUUUUAAAAAUCAUGAAUUCACACUGGUGAAAACCGUAUGUAUGUAAGCAUUGUGGGAAAGCUUUUACCAACAUGGACAUUGUAAGCAACAUGAAAGAAUUCACACUGGAGAGAAACCCUAUUUAUGUCAGCAAUGUGGGAAAGCUUUUACCCAAUGUGGACUUUGUAAGCAGCAUGAAAGUUCACACUUGAUAGAAACCCGAUAUAUGUGAGCACAGUGAGAAAGCUUUCAGUACAACUACAUAUUGUGUACUGCAUGAAAAUCUUCACACUGGCCAGAAACCAUAUAUAUGUAAGGAAUACUGGAAAGCUUUCAGCAAAAUGCUCAUUGUCAAAACACAUGAAAAUAUACCCUCUGGGGAGAAACUACAUACAUAAAGAAUGUGGGAAAGCUUUCACCUCACAUGGAUAUUGUAAAACACAUCAACAACUUCACACUGGCGACAAUACCUAUGUAUGUAAACAAUGUGGGAGAGCUUUUACCACAUAUAGUCAUUGGAGAACGCAUGAAAGAAUUCACACUGGUUGCUGGGGGUUUAGCUCAGCGGCAUAAGUGCCUGCCUUGCAAGCAGGCAGUCGUGAGUUUGAUCCCCGGUACCAAUAAAAAGAAAAAAGACCAAAAAAAAAAAAAAGAAUUCACACUGGGAAGAAACACUGGCUAUGUAAGCAAUGUGGGGAUGCUUUCAGGAGCCAGAGUGAAUGUGAAAAUCAGGAGGAAACCCACACUGGGAAUUCAUUGUAUACAUUAUGGGAAUACUCUCAGCAAACAUGAUAAUAGUUACAUAUCUGAAAGAGCUCACUGGGCAGAAAUCCUAUGUGGACUAGCAAUGUGAGAAAUAUGUCAGUCAACACACUUUGUUAAAUACAUAGAAAAAGCCUCACUGAUCUGAAUUUUUAGAUCUAAGUUUAGUUUUAAAAUCCCAAGGAGUCCUGAAGAAAUAAUUAAUACAAAAGUUUGAUGUCCACAUUUCUUCACAAAUUUUCCAGAAA